GCCACUGCCAUGUAAGAAGUGCCUUUCACCACCCCCACACCCUGCCAUGACUCUGAGGCCUCCCCAGCCACGUGGAACUGAGGCAGCUGUAUGGAGGCCAAUAUGCAGACAAGGGAAGUAACUCAGGCAUUUUGGGGGAGAGGUACAGAAAGAAGAGAAAAGACUGAACUGACUGCUGUUCUGAACAAGAACUGUGACUAUAUGUGGUACUCCCAGAAUGGUGGUUUCCUUUCAGACCCAUCAAGUGGCCAUCCUAUUGGCUUGGACUGAAGACCCCCACUGGAGAACUGUCUCUGCAGCCUAUACUGAUGACACUGGCCACUGUCCAGGGCUCCACCCCAAGGAGUCCAAGCCCCAGACAUUUAGCCUUAGAGAGAAUCCAGAUUUUGCAUUUCCAGUGCAGGGAUUGAUGGAGCCUUGUGUAUCAAAGUGCCAAUUUCUUUCUAACAAGCUAGGGAGGAUACCGUUGACAGCAGCAGAAAGGGGUAGCAGUGGUUUGCUUUCCAAAUGGUAAUAAGAAGGGCCUGGCAGUGGCAACCUGUCCACGUAUCAUUAAAAAUGGACUCUCCUGCUUCGUUUGGAAUUCAACCCAAUGAACUUGAAUAAACUCUGGACAAUGACCAGCACAGAGCCCUAAGCAGGAUACAGCAAGAUUAUUUGCUUUACUCAUCCACUGAGUACCUACCAUGUGCCAAAUACUAUGCUAUAUGCCGAGUAUACACUGGCAAAUAAAACAGAUAUGGUCCCUGGAGCCUAUGAAUCUUACCCCAUCUAGCCACAAAUAAUAAAAAUAAGAAGAAUCUGAAGGACAAGUGGGACAGAAAUACUCAAGCAGAAUGAGGGUGAGAUUGAAGUCCCUGAACAUACAGUGCCCUUUACACUUGAUCUUAGCCAAAAGGCCGAGAAGAGAUUACAGUGCUUUUUAAAGGUAGCAUUUCACCCAGCCAAUAAUCAAUCCCUUUGGCCUUCUUGAGGUGCAAGGCCACACACUCAAAUUCUUUAAUCAAACAAUAGGCUAGUGCAAAUGGAGCUAUUUCUUAAACCCAGCUGUUUACACAGCAGCUACAAAUCUGUUCAGAAGGAAUCCCCCACCAUCCACAACUGUCUAUCGAGCAGAUGUGCAAGAGUAUUUGUCUCUCACCACCAGGGUUGCAGUCAGGACAAGAGAGCAGGUUUGAACGUCUUCGGCUCCUAGAACUGCACAAGCUGUGUCUUCAGUGCCCAGAGGCGGCUGCAACGUCUCCCCAGUUCUCCUCUCAGAACAAUGGAAAUUUUUUUUAGAGGCGUAAUAGGAAGGUUUGCAUUGAAUUAUUAAACAAUGGGUAUUGAAAAAUAUGUUUUCUUUGACCUCUGUACUUCUAGCUUUUACCAGUCAGUGUUUUCUUGUACCAAGGCUAAGAUAUGUAUAACACUGAAAUGGAUGUCUUCUUAUAUAAUAUUUUACAAGCUUUUGAAAACCUGUGCCCUUUAAUAAAUUUUAAAACGUUUC
rnacentral:lncRNA from 1 species